rnacentral:rRNA from 1 species
CACAAUACCAAAAAAUUACAAAUAAGAAAACAACCUCUUGCCAACAAACCAGGCCUCUCUAUAMRAAUAUAGAGGAACUAAUGCUAGAACUAGUAACAAGAAUUUUUCUCUUCCGCACAACUGUAAAUCAGAAAUAGAAAAUCUACUGAAAAUUAACGAAAACAUAUAACAAC